UAUAUAUAUAUAAAUAUAUAUAUACACACACACAUACAUAGUGCUGUCAAUCGAUAAAAAAAUGAAUCAGGUUAAUCACAGUCAUGGGCUGUGAUUUAUCACGAUUAAUCGCACAUUUAAAAUACUAGGACUUACUUGUAAAUGUGCAGUGUUGAAAGAAAUACAUGCAUGACAAACUGGUUUAAAGAAACUGAUUCUUCAGCUUUAUUAUCUCAACCAGUAACAUUUAUCAAACAAGUGUUCAAUAUCAAUCUUAAUUUGAUGAGGCAUCCAUAUGAAAUGCAGACAUUUAGCAGUAACCAACAACUGUUACAAAGUAAUGUCUGCUACAAAGUCACAAAUAGCUUACCUGUGAUUUUUUUUUUGCAUAGUAACAUCUCAACUCAAACGAAUGCAACAAUAAGUAGGCCUAUUUUAGGAAUAGAAUGCCAUAAUGUAUGUGAAGAGACAGAGGGAACAGUCUCUACAUUCUUGGUUAUAGAUAAUUACGUCAAACAGUGUGCACCUGUGCACAACAUGCCUCUUGUCAACUCAGGCAGACUAGCUUGUUCAGAUUUUCAGCUGAUAAAGCUGACCUGUUCUUCUGCCGAAUGUUGCCUGCCAACGAGAACAGUCCCUCACGUGGCACUGUUGAGGCAGGUGUAGCUGAGUAGCUUUUUGAAAUAUAGGCCAGCUUUCCAUAUGCACCUGCUUGUGACAUCCAUGUCCAGUGGUCUCCAGUAAGUGCAAUGAAAGUGCUUUCUGCCAACUGCCUCCGUCACUUUGUGGCUUUUUCAGCGUCGUACAGUUCAUGUAUUCUCGUAACAAUAGUUCCCCUCAAAGGCAGCCUGUGGCGAUCUGAAUGAUGUCUUUAAGCCCCCGGUCCUGAACUACUGUAUGUUGAUGGGCCUGCAGUCUGUAGCGACCCAUUUAGCGGUUGCACUAGUUAGCUUUGCUGUUGCCCCGGCUGCACUCCACCAGUGUCGUUUGACAAGCACGACUUGUUGACCCUGUCUCAGCACUAGUGUCUUUGCUAACAUCAGCAAAAGUGUGUAUCGCCCGAAGAUGGUACUUCAAAGUUGUUUUUAUAACGAAAGUUGCCAUUCAGCAGAGCGGGCACCGUCUACUCUGUCAUCGUUUAGUUGCGUUUGCCGAGCCACACGUAUCACACGAAGCGUAACCUUACCAAACUUGAUAAAAUGCUUACUUUGUGUUAAAAAAAAAAAAUAAUGCGUACCUCGGAUUUGGUGAACACACGUCAUUGGGUACCCAGCAAUACAUCCACCAAGUGCGAAGUAGGUCGGAUGGAUGGUUCUCUAAGUGUUUGAAUGACAGACACACUCACAGACAAGAGAUUUCUUGCUUUAAAAUUAGAUGAGUCUGUAAGAUGUAGUUUAUAUCCUUGACGUUCCACUUCUGGGAUUGCUGCGUGCCGCAGGAAAUUCCGCCGGAUGCAUGUACUCAACCAGCGUCGUCACUCACUUCGGCUAAUGGUGUAACUUACAGAAGCGUAUUACAUUCACCAUAGAAAAAAAAAUGUUGACACCUUAUCUCGUAAUUACGAUAUCCUGAUCUCUUAAUUUUGAGAAAAGAUAUCUUAAUUACAAGAAAAUAACUCAUAAUUUUAAGAAAAGAUCUCGUAAUUAUGAGAUAAUUUUAAACACCUGGAAGGCGGCAUAUCUAGCUAGUUGUCAGUAGGCCACGGCUCAGUGAUCAACUGUACCACCGAGAGGUAAAUUCAGCUGAGUUAAGUUAGCGUGAUACCUCUUGUGUAACUUUAUAGAUAGUAUUAGUUAAUGGACAUAUCUGUUCCACUGAUCCUGCAGAAACACUACAAUGUCCAACAGAUCAAGAAUGGGCUUUCCACCAGAACAACCGCAAAGUCCUGAGGUGCCUGUGCAAAGUCGCCAAACUGAUAACAAUCCCAUCUAUAGUACUUAAAGACAUUCAUCGGGAUCUCGUAAUUACGAGAUAAGGUGUCUAAAUUUUUUUUUCUAUGGUGAAUGUAAUACGCUUCCAUACUCACUCACUCAGCGACAGACUUUCAUGUUUAUAGGGCUGGCCCUACUGCAGUCCAGCUUAAAAUCAUAAUAAUAAUGCAAUUAGGUCACAUUAUGGCCGGAAACAGCGCCCCCUGCUGUGCUGAACAUGCACCUGAUCCUGUCCAAAAUAAAAGAAUACAAACAGGAAGUAAUCCAAAUCUCGUCAUUACUUUCAACAAGGUUGCUCAGGCAACUUGGCUUGCACCUAUUUGCAGUGUUUUUGUUUACUGUGGUUUAGUUAAGUCUGUUGCAACAGAAAUGUUUCUGGUGCAGCUGGUCGCUGCAGUCUUUAUUCAUCCUUCGCCGAAUAUCUGGAUUUGGAGGCAGUGGGUGCUGCAAGUGGCCCUUAAAUAUGCAAGAAAGCCUAUUGUCCAAAGGUUCUCCAGCAUGGUCCCUGAAGUUAACUGUUGAAACAGCGGUCGCAAGAUUUCCAUCAUGUCCAGAUGGCUUGUGCAUGACAAAGUGUCCUGUCUGUGCAUGCAGUUUAGUGGACAAUGGAGAUGGCCGGAGCCUGCUGGUGGUUCUUCUGCUCUAAGGUUAUAGAGCUCAUUGACACGCUGCAGUUUCUGCUGUUCCUCCUGCACACGGGCCAAAACCUGUUCACUGCGAUUAUCAGAGCUAGCUACCUCAACAAGAAGAAGCAGAAAUAAGCUGCAGUGGACUCACAUGUGUCCACUAGAGGGAACAACAUGCCAACAGCCUAACCGCUUUCCCAUGGUGCUCGUGGUCAAUGUGCUAAAUUGUUGCCAAAUUGUUACAGGGAUAGUCAGUGGAAGUGUCUAUAAUGUGAAUUCCUGGAUAUUAAAUGUUCAUCUGUAAUUUUC